rnacentral:rRNA from 1 species
AGAGUGAACGCUGGCGGUAGGCCUAACACAUGCAAGUCGAACGGCAGCACAGUGGUAGCAGUACCAUGGGUGGCGAGUGGCGGACGGGUGAGGAAUACAUCGGAAUCUACCUUUUCGUGGGGGAUAACGUAGGGAAACUUACGCUAAUACCGCAUAAGACCUUCGGGUGAAAGCCGGGGACCUUCGGGCCUGGCGCGGAUAGAUGAGCCGAUGUCGGAUUAGCUUGUUGGCGGGGUAAAAGCCCACCAAGGCGACGAUCCGUAGCUGGUCUGAGAGGAUGAUCAGCCACACUGGAACUGAGACACGGUCCAGACUCCUACGGGAGGCAGCAGUGGGGAAUAUUGGACAAUGGGCGCAAGCCUGAUCCAGCCAUACCGCGUGGGUGAAGAAGGCCUUCGGGUGUAAGCCUUUGUUGGAAAGAAUCUGCGUUAAUAACCAGUAGGAGUGACGGUACCAAAGAAUAAGCGACCGCUAACUUCGUGCCAGCAGCCGACGU